rnacentral:rRNA from 2 species
AGUCGUACGCAUUCUCGUUUCUGAUUGACGGUGCUUGCACCUAAUUGACGAGACAUUGGAAUGAGUGGCGGACGGGUGAGUAACACGUGGGUAACCUGCCCAGAAGUGGGGGAUAACAUUUGGAAACAGAUGCUAAUACCGCAUAAAAGUCAAAACCACAUGGUUUUGAUUUAAAAGAUGGCCUUUGUGCUAUCACUUCUGGAUGGACCCGCGGCGUAUUAGCUAGUUGGUAAGGUAACGGCUUACCAAGGCAAUGAUACGUAGCCGAACUGAGAGGUUGAUCGGCCACAAUGGGACUGAGACACGGCCCAUACUCCUACGGGAGGCAGCAGUAGGGAAUCUUCCACAAUGGGCGCAAGCCUGAUGGAGCAACACCGCGUGAGUGAAGAAGGGUUUCGGCUCGUAAAACUCUGUUGUUAAAGAAGAACGUAUCUAAGAGUAACUGCUUAGGUAGUGACGGUAUUUAACCAGAAAGCCACGGCUAACUACGUGCCAGCAGCCGCGGUAAUACGUAGGUGGCAAGCGUUAUCCGGAUUUAUUGGGCGUAAAGCGAGCGCAGGCGGUUUUUUAAGUCUGAUGUGAAAGCCUUCGGCUUAACCGAAGAAGUGCAUCGGAAACUGGGAGACUUGAGUGCAGAAGAGGACAGUGGAACUC